UGGGUGUAUUGGCGACAGUUAGCACGCCAGUUUGAACCGCAAACGAAUAGUUGUAACUCUUCCUUUAGAGUAUUCCCCGAAUGUUUAUAAAUCUGUGGAAGCAAAGGUGACAAGAUCUAGACUAACUGAGCAUCGAAAAACAAGAUUCAUGUUGCAAGAUGGUUGUGAAUAGACUUAGGAGAUAUGAACAAGAGGUAACUCAAUGCCUAAACUAUGCAUAUGCUAUAGUUCUAGCUAGAUAGCAAGCAAAAUAUUGUUCUCAUUCAAAGCAUCUUCAAAUCUGCACCUCCUGUCUGACUCCCGAAAACGGCAACCUUACAUAGAAACAGAUCCUAUCACCAUCCUACCUAUCAGCGCAGCUAGUCUAAAGGCAUGCACAUAAAGCACAUGUCAUACUUCUUUGUUAGGUAUGCAAAUCUAGUAACCAUAACCACAUAAAGACCCCAAGCAAUCUACGUCGACAAUAGAUUGAAACAAGCAAACCCGAGAAAGUAUGAAAUUAUAAAAAGAGGCAUAUGAAUCUCUAUUGAAUUGGAACACAAUUAUUACUUCGACAUGAAUGAUUGUUCAUCACAAUGUCUCCACCGAGGCCAUACCUACGACUUGUGACUCUUAGCUCCAAAACUCCUGCGUGGAUCUUCCUCACAGGGCGAUCAUACUUGAUGAGGACAUCACUCCUAUGGCUACACAUGACAUUCCUAAAGUUAAUAUGCAAGGACCAAUCACUAGAGCGUGAGCACGAUAAUUAAAUCUCCA
rnacentral:lncRNA from 1 species